rnacentral:lncRNA from 1 species
GAUAAACACUUAAUUUAAGUCAUUUAAAGCAGAAAAUCAUAUUUAAUUUAUUUUAUUUAUUAAGAAUUUGAUGCUUCUUUUUAUGUUUUACAGGAAAGAUGAUCGCCGAUACAAAGAGUCCGAUUCAUAGAUAAAAAAGACUCAAGUUUGAAAAAAUUUGGACUUAAAAUAAAAUUAAAAUAAAAGAAAGACGCAUCCAGUAUUAUAGAAAAUGAAGAUACUAUGUAAGGAAUCCAAAAAGAUAUAAAUGUCAUUGUAAAGAAACAAAAGUUUCUUUUUGGUAUGUGAAAAGAUUGGUUCACGUUAAAUUUUCCUGGGCGCGCGUGAAUGUGGGCAGCAUGAGCUCG